GCCGGGUAUUGCGUCAUUAAAAAGCGCCGACAACAACUAUUUACGUUUGAGCAACCGGUCGUUGUUUUCACAGCAUUUUCUUGAAUUUUGCGCCAUUAGUAACAUUAGAAACUUACGGUGAGAAGAAAUGUCUUCAAAGGCAAAGGAUAUUCUGCAGCUGGACCUUUAUGGUUUGCUUGAGAUUAAAAACACUGCUACAGCAAAGGAGAUCAAAAAAGCCUAUCGACAGAAAGCUUUGAAAUGCCAUCCGGACAAGAACCCCGACAAUCCAAAAGCAGCGGAGCUUUUUCACCAAUUGUCUCAGGCUCUGGAGGUGCUGACCGAUGCUGCUGCCAAGGCCGCCUAUGACAAGAUUUGCGCUGCCAAAAAACAAGCGGAAGAACGGAACCGCAAACUUGAUGACAAGAGAAAGAAGAUUAAGCUUGAUCUUGAGGCAAGAGAGCGACAAGCAGAAGUCCAGACCCAAGACGAAGUGCAAAUUACAAGAACACUUGAAGAAGAGAUUACUCGUUUGAGGGAGGAGGGAUCCAGACAGCUUGAGGAAGAACAGAGGCUCAUCAGAGAGCAGAUCCAAAGAGAACGAGAAGAACAGCAGAACACGGGAAACUACAGUCACAGAAACAACGCAUCAGGAAGAUGUUCUAAGAGCAAUGUCACCCCUAAAUUGAAGUUGAAGUGGAAGUGUAAAAAGGAGGACAGUACAAAUGGUGGCUACUCUCAAGAUUUCAUUCUUAAACUUCUACAAAAGUAUGGAGAAGUUUUGAACGUGAUGGUAUCAAGUAAGAAGAAAGGAAGCGCUGUUGUUGAAUUUGCAACUGUGCGGGCAGCUGAGCUGGCAGUAAAGAAUGAAAGUGGCCUGAGUAAAAAUCCAUUGAAGAUAUGUUGGCUCGAAGGCCAGCCAGAAGUUGAUCCUGCAUCUCAGUUAACACAGGGCUCUCUGGCCAAUGAACGCGACUACGAAAGUGUGGUGAUGAUGAAGAUGAGACAAGCAGCUGAGCGACAGCGUCUCAUUGAGCAAAUGCAAAAAGAAGACGACGAAGCAGGAGCUAUGUCCUAGCAUCAGAGGACCGCAGCCAAUAAAUACAACACCUGUUUUAAGAGAUUCAGAGUUAAGUCAUGUGGGCUCACAGAUAGCACAAAGCAGAGAUGGAUCAAUUUCAUCCAGGCUGCUAGAUCAUCUCUGACGGGAGGAAAUGAAAGACCACAGGCAAACAAGCGAGAAUCCACGGUGAUUGUCCAAAGGAGUGGUUCUGGCUAUUCAUCAUCAUCGGGGUCGACUCCUUCGGUCUCCAACACCGCGCAAGAUUGAUGGCCCGUCAACGCUGCUGGACCACCAGGCACUCGUGCCUUAAAGUU